rnacentral:rRNA from 1 species
UGGAUGCCCUGGCAGUCAGAGGCGAUGAAGGACGUGCUAAUCUGCGAUAAGCGUCGGUAAGGUGAUAUGAACCGUUAUAACCGGCGAUUUCCGAAUGGGGAAACCCAGUGUGUUUCGACACACUAUCAUUAACUGAAUCCAUAGGUUAAUGAGGCGAACCGGGGGAACUGAAACAUCUAAGUACCCCGAGGAAAAGAAAUCAACCGAGAUUCCCCCAGUAGCGGCGAGCGAACGGGGAGCAGCCCAGAGCCUGAAUCAGUGUGUGUGUUAGUGGAAGCGUCUGGAAAGGCGCGCGAUACAGGGUGACAGCCCCGUACACAAAAAUGCACAUGCUGUGAGCUCGAUGAGUAGGGCGGGACACGUGGUAUCCUGUCUGAAUAUGGGGGGACCAUCCUCCAAGGCUAAAUACUCCUGACUGACCGAUAGUGAACCAGUACCGUGAGGGAAAGGCGAAAAGAACCCCGGCGAGGGGAGUGAAAAAGAACCUGAAACCGUGUACGUACAAGCAGUGGGAGCACGCUUAGGCGUGUGACUGCGUACCUUUUGUAUAAUGGGUCAGCGACUUAUAUUCUGUAGCAAGGUUAACCGAAUAGGGGAGCCGAAGGGAAACCGAGUCUUAACUGGGCGUUAAGUUGCAGGGUAUAGACCCGAAACCCGGUGAUCUAGCCAUGGGCAGGUUGAAGGUUGGGUAACACUAACUGGAGGACCGAACCGACUAAUGUUGAAAAAUUAGCGGAUGACUUGUGGCUGGGGGUGAAAGGCCAAUCAAACCGGGAGAUAGCUGGUUCUCCCCGAAAGCUAUUUAGGUAGCGCCUCGUGAAUUCAUCUCCGGGGGUAGAGCACUGUUUCGGCAAGGGGGUCAUCCCGACUUACCAACCCGAUGCAAACUGCGAAUACCGGAGAAUGUUAUCACGGGAGACACACGGCGGGUGCUAACGUCCGUCGUGAAGAGGGAAACAACCCAGACCGCCAGCUAAGGUCCCAAAGUCAUGGUUAAGUGGGAAACGAUGUGGGAAGGCCCAGACAGCCAGGAUGUUGGCUUAGAAGCAGCCAUCAUUUAAAGAAAGCGUAAUAGCUCACUGGUCGAGUCGGCCUGCGCGGAAGAUGUAACGGGGCUAAACCAUGCACCGAAGCUGCGGCAGCGACACUGUGUGUUGUUGGGUAGGGGAGCGUUCUGUAAGCCUGUGAAGGUGUACUGUGAGGUAUGCUGGAGGUAUCAGAAGUGCGAAUGCUGACAUAAGUAACGAUAAAGCGGGUGAAAAGCCCGCUCGCCGGAAGACCAAGGGUUCCUGUCCAACGUUAAUCGGGGCAGGGUGAGUCGACCCCUAAGGCGAGGCCGAAAGGCGUAGUCGAUGGGAAACAGGUUAAUAUUCCUGUACUUGGUGUUACUGCGAAGGGGGGACGGAGAAGGCUAUGUUGGCCGGGCGACGGUUGUCCCGGUUUAAGCGUGUAGGCUGGUUUUCCAGGCAAAUCCGGAAAAUCAAGGCUGAGGCGUGAUGACGAGGCACUACGGUGCUGAAGCAACAAAUGCCCUGCUUCCAGGAAAAGCCUCUAAGCAUCAGGUAACAUCAAAUCGUACCCCAAACCGACACAGGUGGUCAGGUAGAGAAUACCAAGGCGCUUGAGAGAACUCGGGUGAAGGAACUAGGCAAAAUGGUGCCGUAACUUCGGGAGAAGGCACGCUGAUAUGUAGGUGAAGUCCCUCGCGGAUGGAGCUGAAAUCAGUCGAAGAUACCAGCUGGCUGCAACUGUUUAUUAAAAACACAGCACUGUGCAAACACGAAAGUGGACGUAUACGGUGUGACGCCUGCCCGGUGCCGGAAGGUUAAUUGAUGGGGUUAGCGCAAGCGAAGCUCUUGAUCGAAGCCCCGGUAAACGGCGGCCGUAACUAUAACGGUCCUAAGGUAGCGAAAUUCCUUGUCGGGUAAGUUCCGACCUGCACGAAUGGCGUAAUGAUGGCCAGGCUGUCUCCACCCGAGACUCAGUGAAAUUGAACUCGCUGUGAAGAUGCAGUGUACCCGCGGCAAGACGGAAAGACCCCGUGAACCUUUACUAUAGCUUGACACUGAACAUUGAGCCUUGAUGUGUAGGAUAGGUGGGAGGCUUUGAAGUGUGGACGCCAGUCUGCAUGGAGCCGACCUUGAAAUACCACCCUUUAAUGUUUGAUGUUCUAACGUUGACCCGUGAUCCGGGUUGCGGACAGUGUCUGGUGGGUAGUUUGACUGGGGCGGUCUCCUCCUAAAGAGUAACGGAGGAGCACGAAGGUUGGCUAAUCCUGGUCGGACAUCAGGAGGUUAGUGCAAUGGCAUAAGCCAGCUUGACUGCGAGCGUGACGGCGCGAGCAGGUGCGAAAGCAGGUCAUAGUGAUCCGGUGGUUCUGAAUGGAAGGGCCAUCGCUCAACGGAUAAAAGGUACUCCGGGGAUAACAGGCUGAUACCGCCCAAGAGUUCAUAUCGACGGCGGUGUUUGGCACCUCGAUGUCGGCUCAUCACAUCCUGGGGCUGAAGUAGGUCCCAAGGGUAUGGCUGUUCGCCAUUUAAAGUGGUACGCGAGCUGGGUUUAGAACGUCGUGAGACAGUUCGGUCCCUAUCUGCCGUGGGCGCUGGAGAACUGAGGGGGGCUGCUCCUAGUACGAGAGGACCGGAGUGGACGCAUCACUGGUGUUCGGGUUGUCAUGCCAAUGGCACUGCCCGGUAGCUAAAUGCGGAAGAGAUAAGUGCUGAAAGCAUCUAAGCACGAAACUUGCCCCGAGAUGAGUUCU